rnacentral:rRNA from 1 species
UGGCUCAGAACGAACGCUGGCGGCAGGCCUAACACAUGCAAGUCGAGCGCGCCCUUCGGGGUGAGCGGCGGACGGGUUAGUAACGCGUGGGAACGUACCCUUUGGUAGGGAAUAGCCACUGGAAACGGUGAGUAAUACCCUAUGAGCCCUUCGGGGGAAAGAUUUAUCGCCAAAGGAUCGGCCCGCGUUAGAUUAGGUAGUUGGUGGGGUAAUGGCCUACCAAGCCUACGAUCUAUAGCUGGUUUUAGAGGAUGAUCAGCAACACUGGGACUGAGACACGGCCCAGACUCCUACGGGAGGCAGCAGUGGGGAAUCUUGGACAAUGGGGGCAACCCUGAUCCAGCCAUGCCGCGUGAGUGAAGGAGGCCUUAGGGUCGUAAAGCUCUUUCGCCUGUGAAGAUAAUGACGGUAGCAGGUAAAGAAACCCCGGCUAACUCCGUGCCAGCCGCCGC